rnacentral:misc_RNA from 1 species
UUUUUUUUUAAUUUUUAUUUUUUAUGGGCUGCUUUUCUUGGAGUGUUGACUAUGUUAUUCAUACUAGCACCUGCCUAUAUUAUUAUAUGCCUGCCUUCAUGGCAAAGUCUGAAUUUGUUGCAUGAAGUGAUUAUUUGUGCAAGAAUUCUUUACUUGGAUUCUGGCAUAACAUUUUAGCUGGUUGAACAGAAGUCUUGUGAUUAACAUUAAAUGGAGUUGGAUGAUUAUCUCAUUCUUGAAAAUGUGAUAGUGAUACUGAUUUAUGGUUUACACAUUGGCGAAGCCCAAUUUUGCAUCCUGCACUUGUCAUGUGGUUCUAAUACUUGUAUUGUGUUGAUGUUAUUUAUUUACAUUUUACAUUUCCACUUCUUUGCUGUUAGUUGUUGAAACACCACCAACCACCACACCCCCACCCAACCCCCA